UCUUCUCAGAUCUCAACCCUGCUGCGUUUCCGACCGGAAAUUAGAUCAUCGGCUCCACGGUUCUCCAGGUUGCUGACCGCAAAUCUCGGAAUUGGCUCACAGGAGUAUGGAGACCGAGAAGUCCCAAAAUCUGUGUCCGCGUUAAACUGGACAACGCGAGAGCAGAUGGCGUGACUUCCGGUCGAGAACCCAGCGGCUUGAGAUCCGAGAAGAGCGCGUUUCAGUUACACUCUGAAGGCAGGAAACAACCUUUUGGAAUGAGGUGUGCAACAUAAGCUUUAUGAAGAAAAUUUUUCCAGCUUUGUUGAGCACAGAUUGUCAGCCUAUUCCCCUGGACCAAUCAAUCUUGAAUGGAGAUAAGAAAUCUGUAUUAAAUCCUCAGGCAUUGCUACAUGUAUUGGUACUGAAUCAACACUUCAUCUAUGAAGAGAACGAUACCUGUGGUCCUUAUUAAUCAUCCUUUCAAUAAAAAUACUUGGAAGAUGUUGUUCCCUUGUCUUUCAACUUCCAUGGCAUACACUGAGUGUACCAUAGUAGUGGGAUGCUGAUAUGGAGGGAAGAAAAUGGGCCACAAAGUGAAGAGAUUGGGGACUGGUAGGACAAGGCUAUACUAUUUCAUGAAAGGGAUCAUCCACAUGAAUAUUGAAGCCCUACUGGUUUAAACUAAUUCCAUCUGAGUAACUCAAAGAAGUUCCCACAAUAGAAUCACCAGAGAUCUCAAGUGAGCUGGAUGACUUUGGUAAUAACAGGUGGAGCAAAAGUCAUAAAGAAGGCAGAACAAGAACUCCAAGAAAAAGCAGCAUAUGUGAUAAGUUAUAAAGCAUAUGUGUUGUGGGUACAACAAGGAAUUUGACUUUAUACCAUUAGUAAUGAAGACUGAAGAAAAAUUUUGUAAGAGGUUAAGGUAAAAUAGUCCUUCUGGCUAUCAAAGAAGACUAUACCAACAAAGAUAUUAGCUCCGAGUACUGGAUUACAUAGGAGCUGUAUACACACAGAAGAAGAUGCUGAGAUAACCUCUACGAAUUAGACAGAGACCAUCGAAACCUCUUCUUGAGAUGCAGCUCUUUCCUUACUACAGUUCACGGAACUGUCCUGAACCAUUCCUGAUUUAACAAGCAAGAAAGAAAAACAAAUAGGAUAAGGCUUUUCUUGCUCCUUUUCUCUUGAUUGGCUCAAAGCCUCCUAACAAUUGUUGGUCACCUGUAUAAUCUAAAAUCGCCAGAUACCUCAAUACUUCUUUAAAAUUACUUUUUACUGUAGUAUUACCCUUAAGGUGAAUGCCCUUAAGCCUUGGUGUAGCAAAGGUAAUGCUCUGUUCAAUCCUUUGAACACACAUUGGCGAUGUAAGGAGUCCAGGUCAUUUAGGAAGACACUACCUCAAUUGAUUUAUGCCUGUAACAGAAUACGCUAAUUCAACUAUUUGUUAGCAUUUUAAAUUUCACUACUUUUAUGUAGCAGAAAGAUUUUAUCUUUCUUAGAAUGGAUAGCUUUUCAUUUUGAUUGAUGUUUGUUUAAAUAUGAUUUUUUUGAACAUUAGAAUCAUUCAGAGCUGCUAGAUUAUUUUUAAAUAGAUGUUCAUUGGGGAAGAGCAACAGCAAUCAGAGUUUAGCAAAAGUAAUAAGAAACUAUUUUUUUUAAAGAUAAUAACUACCAUGGCCCAUUUUCUUUUUCUUAAAAUAAUGUUAUGUGAAAUUUAUUUUCUGUUCCUUACUGAAGUAUUUUGUUUUGCUUUUCUGUUGUUAAAGAGUGAAUUUUUUUCAACUUUUCUGUCACAAAUUCAUUAUCUGGUAAGUAAAAAUUAUACUUCUCACAUUGUUUUUUUUUUAAUCUGCCAGGAGACCCAAGUCAAUAUUAAUUUAAAUUAUAAAUUAUAAGAAUUUCUUAUACAGGUGACAAAAUUUUUUUUGAAAAUGCUCCUUUUUUUGUUACAUCUCACAGAAAUGGGGACAUAUAUCUGGGCCUAAUGACCAUUAAUGUGGAAGACCCUCUUUCUUGUAAUUAAUUUUCUUCUUAUCUAUAAACACUUCUUCCGUAAUUGUUCGAUAGUUCAUGGUAUGAUUUUUUUUCAUUAUUCUAGCUUUACAGUAAGCCAGUUAAUUCAAAGUAUGCAGAGUACUUCUCCUUCUAGCCUUUAAAA
rnacentral:lncRNA from 1 species